rnacentral:antisense_RNA from 1 species
CUUCAGCGAACCCAGCCAGAGCGGUGCGGAGGCGUCACGGUCCUUGCCGUAGGUGGCCAGCAGCGCCUGCGCCUC